rnacentral:rRNA from 1 species
AGGACGAACGCUGGUGGCGUGCUUAACACAUGCAAGUCGAACGGUGAAGCCCAGCUUGCUGGGUGGAUCAGUGGCGAACGGGUGAGUAACACGUGAGCAACCUGCCCCCUACUUCGGGAUAAGCCUUGGAAACGAGGUCUAAUACCGGAUAUGAGCACUUACCGCAUGGUGGGUGUUGGAAAGUUUUUCGGUGGGGGAUGGGCUCGCGGCCUAUCAGCUUGUUGGUGGGUAAUGGCCUACCAAGGCGUCGACGGGUAGCCGCUGAGAGGGCGACGGCCGACACGUGGACUGAGACACGGCCAGACUCCGUACGGGAGGCAGCAGUGGGAAUAGUGCACAAGUGGGCGAAAGCUGAUGCGA